GAGUUUGAUCAUGGCUCAGGAUUAACGCUGGCGGUAUGCCUAACACAUGCAAGUCGAACGGAAUACUCGAAAAGAGAAUCUCACACUAGUGAGAGGUUCUCCAACCGAGUAUUUAGUGGCGGACGGGUGAGUAACACGUUGGAACCUGCCCCGAAGUGGGGAAUAACUGCUCGAAAGAGUAGCUAAUACCCCAUAGUAUCCGGUUUAUCCGGAUUAAAGAUUUAUCGCUUCGGGAGGGGCCUGCGUCUGAUUAGCUUGUUGGUGGGGUAAAAGCUCACCAAGGCGACGAUCAGUAGCUGGUUCGAGAGGAUGUCCAGCCACACUGGGACUGAGAUACGGCCCAGACUCCUACGGGAGGCAGCAGUGAGGAAUCUUCCACAAUGGACGAAAGUCUGAUGGAGCAAUACCGCGUGCAGGACGACGCUUUUCGGAGUGUAAACUGCUUUUGUCGUCGAAGAUUAUGACUGUAGACGAAGAAUAAGGACCGGCUAACUACGUG
rnacentral:rRNA from 1 species